CUUACCUACCCAAAUCUUAUAAAACGGCCCCACCCCUAUCUCCCUUCGCUGACUCUGUUUUCAGACUCACCCUGCCUGCACCCAGGUGAUUAAAAGCUUUAUUGCUCACACAAAGCCUGUUUAGUGUUCUCUUCAUACGGAUGUGCAUGAAAUUUGGUGCCAUGACUCGGAUCGGGGGACCUCCCUUGGGAGAUCAAUCCCCUGUCCUCCUGUUCUUUGCUCUGUGAGAAAGAUCCACCUACGACCUCAGGUCCUCAGACCCACCAGCCCAAGAAACGUCUCACCAAUUUCAAAUCCGACAGUAUGUGACGAUUCACAGAGAAGAUCAUAUCAGUUAUAGAAGAAUAAAGGAGAAUAAAGGUUCAUUUGUCUGGGUAAUCUGA
rnacentral:lncRNA from 1 species